rnacentral:lncRNA from 1 species
AUUUAUUUUUGGCUUUUUUUAGGGCUGAACGUAUGGCACAUGGAAGCUCCCAGGCUAGGGGUUGAAUUGGAGCUACAGCUGCUGGCCUAUGCCACAGCCACAGCCACACCAGAUCCAAGCCAUGUCUGCAACCUACACCACAGCUCAUGGCAAUUCCUGAUCCUUAACAUGCUGAGUGAGGCCAGGGAUCGAACCCGCAACCUCGUGGAUCCUAGUCGGGUUCAUUAACCACUGAGCCAUGACAAGAACUCCGAAUACGACUUUUAAGGCCUUGGAGAAAAGCAGUGUGUUUGGUGGAGCUGGAGCCAGCCAGGGAGUGUCUUUAGCUGGGAUUACAUUUAAAAAUAAGGAAGGUGGAAUGCCCUCAGGUCUAAUCAUACUGAUAAAUAUAUUUUAUGUGUAUAUACUGUAUUUAAUAUAUAUGUAUAUUCACACACGAUAGCUAUAUCUUCAUUAACAGUUAAAUUAUUUAUUGAUAAUCAAGUUAAAUAAAAAUGUACACAUUUGUAUCAUGAAUAAGCAAGUGAACAUCACUGAUAUUUAAAUAUGUGGGUUUUUUUUUAAUUUAAUUAUUUAUUGAUAAUCAAGUUAAAUAAAAAUGUACACAUUUGUAUCAUGAAUAAGCAAGUGAACAUCACUGAUAUUUAAAUAUGUGGGUUUUUUUUUAAAUUAAAAGUAAGCAACUACACACCACUUUAUAUCUAUUUGUAAUUGCUGAGUAAGUAGAAGUUUUCAAAACCCCUUGGCGUUCCUGUUGUGGUUCACCGGGUUAAGGACCUGACAUUGACUCUGAAGAUACAGGUUCAAUCCCUGGCCUCAUUCAGUGGGUUAAGAAUCUGUCAUUGCUGUAAGCUGCAGCAUAGGUCACAGAUCUGGUGAUAAGGAUCUGGUUUGCAGUAGCUGUGGUGUAGGCUGCAGCUGCAGCUCUGAUUCAACCUUGAGCCUGGGAACUUCCAUAAGCUGCAAGUGCAGCCUUUAAGGAAAAAAAAAAAAAAAAAAAAAAAAA